GUGGGGAAUAUUGCACAAUGGGGGAAACCCUGAUGCAGCGACGCCGCGUGAGUGAAGAAGUAUUUCGGUACGUAAAGCUCUAUCAGCAAGGAAGAAAAUGAUGGUACUUGAAUAAGAAGCCCCGGCUAACUACGUGCCAGCAGCCGCGGUAAUACGGAGGGGGCAAGCGUUAUCCGGAUUUACUGGGUGUAAAGGGAGCGUAGACGGGAUGGUAAGUCAGAUGUGAAAGCCCGGGGCUCAACCCCGGGACUGCAUUUGAAACUAUCAGACUAGAGUGCAGGGGAGGUAAGUGGAAUUCCUAGUGUAGCGGUGAAAUGCGUAGAUAUUAGGAGGAACACCAGUGGCGAAGGCGGCUUACUGGACUGUAACUGACGUUGAGGCUCGAAAGCGUGGGGAGCAAACAGGAUUAGAUACCCCUGUAGUCC
rnacentral:rRNA from 1 species